GGAUGCGAUAAUAACAGAAUUAUUUUUGGGUGUUAGAAGCACUUCCACAAGUGACUAGUAUUUUGAGAACUAUUCUCCACUUAGACCCUGACCAAUUCUUUUUUUUUUUUAAAGAAUCAUCUCGACAUUUCUGAGAGAAGAAAGCAACACCAGUCUAGAGACCGAAGAGAGGUCACUCGGGUUGGAGAGAAAAGGGGAAAAAGAAAAGGAAUCUUACUGUUUCUUUAGCAGCAGCCAUAGCAAGAAAACCAGCACCCAUGUCCACCUCCUGCAAGCCAACAACAAUUAUGCCAGCAUCUGCUGCAGCAGAACCAAGCCAUGAUACAAGUGAAUCAGGAGAAGCUCUUCCUUGUCCAACAUUCCAUGUACCAGCCAAUAUUUUUAAAUUCUCGAGCCUGGUAUACAAAAAUUCGAUGCCAACAUCUGCUGCUGCAGAACCUAGCCAUGAUAUAAGUGAAUCGGGAGAAGCUCUUCCUUGUCCAACAUUCCAUGUACCAGCCAAUAUUUUUAAAUUCUCGAGCCUGGUAUACAAAAAUUCCUUGCU
rnacentral:lncRNA from 1 species